rnacentral:lncRNA from 1 species
UUCCGUUGCUUAUGUAUAUAAAUUUUGAAUUGUAUAUGCUUGCUAGUCACUAGAAAUCCCAUAUGAAUCUCAUAGAUUUCCCUUCAAGUGGUAUCAGAGCCAAAGGUUUAUAUUUGAUGUGUCCUUUUGGAUUUUAUGCAUAUGGGUUUUAAUUUUAUGUAUGACAUGUUAUUGCUUCAUUCAAAGUAUGUUUAUCUUUUGUUUUUCAAUAGUUGAAAAAUAUGAAUCAAUAGUUGAGAAAGAUAUGUAUGCAAAAAAUGUUUUGUAUGCAUGAAUGAAGAAUGAGUUUAGAACAAAUUUUGGGGUUUUGAGUCAUUGGGAGGGCACGGCAAAAAGGGGAUUUUGGCUAUGUGUUUGUGUUUUUAUUUUGAAUCACACACACACACACUUUAAAGCUAGAAAGUAGAGUUCUUGUCACUUUUGUUUUUUAUUUGAAAGAUCACCAAGAAUAUACAAAUCUUGAAAAUGUGUUCAUGGUUUUGUUCUUGGUGUUCAUGGUUUGGUUUUGGUGAAAAUGGUUUUAUUUGGUUUUCAUGCAUUGUUUUGUGGUUUUGGAUGAUGUACAUACAUCCAUAGCCAUCUCAAAAAUUUAUUAAAUCCUAGACUUGACUAGGAGAAUUUCCAUCACCCUUUUCACUAAAGUCUUUAAGCAAAACCAAGUGACAAGCAAAAUUUAAUCUUUCUACUUUAACUUGGUUUAAAUGCAAUAUGGGUGAGACUUCCCAUCCUCCCCUUAAUGUGGCCGGCCUCUGGAUUACCCACUUGUGGGGUUUUUUGUAAUUUGGAAAAAGAUAUUUUUACUUUUGAGUAUUUACGGUUUGACCCCUAACUUUUUCAUAUUUGCAUUUAGGCCCCUACUAACUAGAAAGUUAAAAUAUUUGAUUUUAAUUUUGUUAGUUGUUUAAACUCAUAAUACUAUUAUGCCCAUAUGCACUAAAUCUAAUUGUUUAUGUUGCAUUCCCAUUGAUUAUUUAAUGUGAUUAAGUAGUUAGAAAAAUAGGUGACUAUGGACUUAUGCCUUAAACGAUAAUUGAGCUAUGAGAUAAGGCGCUAAACUCAUAUUGUUUGAACCUUGGGAAUGUGUUUUAAUUACUGUUUCAAUUGGACCUUGUCACCUUGGACAUUAAUCUAUCUCUCCCUCUUAGUAUGUGUAAUUUGUAGGAAUUUGUACAAAUCGGUUUGUAAUUCUUUAUUACUUCUUAAUUUCUUUUAGUUAGUUGAUUCCCUCUAGUGCUAGACUAGAGUUUCUUUAACUAUUGGUAAGGAGACAUAACUAAAAGAGGGUUUUCGACAUGAGAUUAAAGAUUAAAUGGGUCCAACGCCCUAAUUAGCAAUUAAUGAUUGUCUU